AACGCUAGCUACAGGCUUAACACAUGCAAGUCGAGGGGAAACGACAUCGAAAGCUUGCUUUUGAUGGGCGUCGACCGGCGCACGGGUGAGUAACGCGUAUCCAACCUGCCCACCACUUGGGGAUAACCUUGCGAAAGUAAGACUAAUACCCAAUGAUAUCUCUAGAAGACAUCUGAAGGAGAUUAAAGAUUUAUCGGUGAUGGAUGGGGAUGCGUCUGAUUAGCUUGUUGGCGGGGUAACGGCCCACCAAGGCGACGAUCAGUAGGGGUUCUGAGAGGAAGGUCCCCCACAUUGGAACUGAGACACGGUCCAAACUCCUACGGGAGGCAGCAGUGAGGAAUAUUGGUCAAUGGGCGAGAGCCUGAACCAGCCAAGUAGCGUGCAGGAUGACGGCCCUAUGGGUUGUAAACUGCUUUUAUAAGGGAAUAAAGUGAGCCUCGUGAGGCUUUUUGCAUGUACCUUAUGAAUAAGGACCGGCUAAUUCCGUGCCAGCAGCCGCGGUAAUACGGAGGAUCCAAGCGUUAUCCGGAUUUAUUGGGUUUAAAGGGAGCGUAGGUUGACAUAUAAGUCAGCUGUGAAAGUUUACGGCUCAACCGUGAAAUUGCAGUUGAUACUGUAUGUCUUGAGUGUACAAGAGGUGGGCGGAAUUCGUGGUGUAGCGGUGAAAUGCUUAGAUAUCACGAAGAACUCCGAUUG
rnacentral:rRNA from 1 species